rnacentral:rRNA from 1 species
AUUGAACGCUGGCGGCAGGCUUAACACAUGCAAGUCGAGCGGGGGAAGGUAGCUUGCUACCGGACCUAGCGGCGGACGGGUGAGUAAUGCUUAGGAAUCUGCCUAUUAGUGGGGGACAACAUCUCGAAUGGGAUGCUAAUACCGCAUACGUCCUACGGGAGAAAGCAGGGGAUCUUCGGACCUUGCGCUAAUAGAUGAGCCUAAGUCGGAUUAGCUCGUUGGUGGGGUAAAGGCCUACCAAGGCGACGAUCUGUAGCGUGUCGGAGAGGAUGAUCCGCCCCACUGGGACUGAGACACGGCCCAGACUCCUACGGGAGGCAGGGGUGGGGAAUAGUGGACAAUGGGGGGAACCCGUAUCCCGCCAUGCCGCGUGUGUGAAGAAGGCCUUAUGGUUGUAAAGCACUUUAAGCGAGGAGGAGGCUACUCUAGUUAAUACCUAGGGAUAGUGGACGUUACUCGCAGAAUAAGCACCGGCUAACUCUGUGCCAGCAGCCGCGGUAA